UGUCCCUUCUGGAGCGGGAGUGCAGCCUGCGCAGAGGCCUGAAGGCACGGCAGCGUGGCAAGUGGUGGAGUUUAUAGUCACCGGGGUUGGGUAGAGACAAAGGUUGGCGUGAAAGGAAGACCCAUGCCCCACACACGCACAAAGGGGAAAUUAAGGCCCAGAGAGCCUAUAGGAUCAGCUCUGAAGGAUGGGUUUCCAGAGCAAGAAUGCAAAAAAGGGAACAGCCUUCAGAGACGGCCGGGUGGCCCACAGUCAGAAUCGGGACUCACCACAACCUGAGCAGGAAGUUACAGUCCCUCCUCCCAGAGGAUCAGCUUACCCACCCAAGGAAUCACAGGACCUGGUCAACAUGUGCCAUCUGGAGUGAAGGGAAGCCAUGUGGCACUGGAUCUGAGGUGUUAGAUCUGCAUUGUGGUCUGAAAGCUCUGCCUGCCCAGUCCUGCUUCCUCUUCUUUUGAGUUGUCACCGGUGUUACCUCACAACAAACCUCUUGCACUCCUAAUCCCAUCUCACCGUGGGCUUCUGGAGGACCCACGUGGCAUACCCUCCUCUCAGUUAUCCUGCCGGGUGUGGUGUCUACUCUGAGCAGCUCAGCACAGCCUCUGGUACUUCGUUUGCUGCUGUAGAGGUCAAGCAGAAAGAUAUUCAGCAAAAAAAGAAAAAAGAAAAUAUUCAGCGAAGAUAUAGAAAAUCUGAACAACAUAGAUUUCAUGUGGGAGAGGUGAUCCUUCGUCAGGUGACAGAGCCCAAGUAAUCCUCUCACCCCCAUGAAUAAAAGGAAGCUGGAAAGUUCAUAAGUGAUCUGCCCAAGGUCUCCCAGCUGGAAGUCAGGAUUCAGAUUCAGGUCUGUCUGGCACCUAAAUCGAUCAGCCUGUCUCCCUUCCACCCCCUCAGCCCCUGUCCCAUUUAACAGCCCCACCCCACCACUUCCACUAUCGGGGAUCCCAGCGCACACCUAGUUCUUUGUUGCUGCCCCACCCGCCUCCCUACCACGUCCUCCAGGGCAUAAAACAGAGGUAAGUGCGUUAAAAAUUUAUACCGUACACUGGAAAAUGGCAGGUCCCAAAACAGAGAAUAUUAAGACCACCUGGGGCAAUAAAGGAUUCUGGAGAGUUUUUGAAGUGUUUCCACAUUCCACAUUUCACUUAAUGCCCACAUGCAUCCUGUGAAAGAGACCAGUGUUAAUAGCUCUGUUUUAUAGAUAGGACAUGAGGCUCAGAGAAGCUGUGACCCAUCCAAGGUCACAUAGUUAAGGAAAGCGCCUCAGUCAGGACUAAAGGGAUGUAAGUUUCUGGAUGGAGAGGCACUGGCUAGAACCCAGCUCUUCCGCAACCUGGGCCAGCGCUCCUGCCAUCCGCUCCAGGAAGCAGCAGUCUGCAUAACGAUCUGAAGACAACGUCUCCCCACUGAGCUCCUCCUCCCCAGCACAUGCUGUUUUCUCAUCCUUCUUCUUUUUUUCUCCCCUUCCUUUUUUCUCACCAUAAAUUACAUCCCUUGUCUAAAGAAUAAUUAAUGCCACUUAAAUAAAGGGAGCAGCAGCCUCAUUCCUGUGCUCACAUAAUUAAGGACUGUCACUUGCAUCGCCUGCCUGUGGACACACCCAAGGUGUACCCACCUCUUACUGAGCUUUGAACUAUGUGCCAAGCAGGUGCAUGCUUAGCUCAGUACAUCCUCACCACAAGUCUCUGAAGUAGGUUUCCAUAUGCCCUCUUUGCAGAUGAGGCAGUAGAGGCCCAGAAAUGUCACUCAUGGCUUGUUCAAGGUCAUAUAACUUGUAAGUGGCACAGCUAGACUUGAACCUAAGUUUGUCUGACACUAAAGUCCAUGUUCUUCACCCCACGGUUCCAACUGAGGGAUAACCAAACUGUGGCCAGCCUUUACUUCUCCAUCUUUAGAACUCUUCCUGUUAACAGAAUACUUUAGCAUGCAUAUAGGUUAGACCAGGCUUGAAGAUAUCUAAUGAUAAUAAUAAUUGCGUUCACCACAUAGUGGGUGCUUACUUUAGGCAUUGUGCUUUACCCCAUUAUGUCUUUCAGUCCCCACCAAUACUUUGUGAAGUGGAUACUGCUAGCCCUGUUUUACAGAUGAGGUAACUGAGGCCACCAGCACAUAGUUUGUAUGUGAUAAAAUGAGGAUUUGGACUCAGGUCUGGGUGAUGCCUGAGCCCUUGCCUUAACCGCCUCUCCCCACCUUGCCUACCGGGUUUACUGUUCUUCCAAACAUGACAUGAAUUCUCUCUGCCUCUGGAGUUGGGCCAAAAGAGGUAUGUCUGGUCAGUUUGGCCAUCAGGAGAUUCAGAGCACCCUGAGUGUCCCGUCACCUUGUUUCUGCCUGAGGCUGGCUGCCUUUCCCUGCAAGAGAACUGCUCUGGGUUUCAGGACAGAUGCCAGGUAUCAGCUAGAAUGUCUGCUGGAGACCUGGGAACAUAUGUGACUUGCCUGUUUGGAAGUACAGAGGAGACUGGAGCUCACACUGUUUAAAAACAGUUCCCUUUCUUUCAGCAAGAUGUGUGUGCACUGCUUAUCCUCCAAAGAGAGGAGUGGGGUAUUUGAAUCAAAAGUGUGGGAUCUGGGAGUCUGCCAGGGGGCUCACUAAGGCAGCAGUCGAUGGUUGUUCGAGAGAGGGCCCCUUGGUUGCCAGGUGACAGAAAACCCAAACUAAACUGAUUUAAGCAGUUUGUUGACAUACAGAGCUAAAACCCCAGGGUAGGUGGAGCUUCAGGUGCAGCUUGAUCAGAGAAUCAAAGGAUGACUGACUCCAAGUCCUGCUUCUCAGCUUUGCUCUCCUCCACACUGGCUUCACUUCCUGUCACCGCAAGAUGGCGGCCAUAGCACCAAACCUCACACCCUCUCAGGAGAAGGGAGGCAGUGAUCUAGUCAGUCAAACAACUGAGUUUCACUGGCUCUAGCAGGCGUGGCUUGGCUCAACACUGACAGUGGGAAAUGUGAUGCAUUGAUUGGCUGGGCCCUGGGGGUGGGGAUCAACAUACACCCAAUAGCAUGGACUUAGAGAGACAAAGGGUAGUGCCCUCAAAACCAUAUUGGGAUGCAUUAUAAGAAGCAGGAUAAGUAGGUGUUGGAUGUCAGAAAGAAAGAGAAAAAAGGAAGGAAAGAAGGAAGAGAGGAAGGAAGGAAGAAGGAAAGAAAGAGUGGUUAUGGAGAUGUGCCUAACAGCUUCCAGACAAGCUAUGCUCCAAAAGUUCAUUUGUAAAUCAGUUUCUAACUCAUUACAUUUGUACCCAUGUGGUUGAGAGGGAAGGGGGAAUUUUUAAUUGUAAAGUUCCCAGACUAGCCUAAAAAUUUUUAUUUAAUCCAUAAUAUAGUGGAAGUGCUUGGAUAUUUGCAAUGAAAAAUAGAAUGCAAAACUUACAACCGUGGAUGAUAAAUAAAAAGAAUUGGGAUCUGAAACCUUGUCUUUGUUAUGAGUGCUGAUGCUUGAGAAAAAGCAAGUUUAAUUAAUGAGACUAAGCUAGCAGAUGGAGACUCCAGUGGGGAUCUGAAGGGGGCUUCUGAGCACUUCCAAGGGCUCAGGAGGUUGAUGGCAGGGCUUUCUGUUACGCUGAAUUUCCCUUUACAUAUUAUAGUUUUCUUUAUUCUUGAUAUAGGUGUGUCAAGAACAUUCUUACAUCUUCUUCUUCCAGGUGUACAAGGAAAAUGAGUCUUUGCAACUCCACUAUGAUUCAGAUCAUUCUGGAUUCACAAACGCAAUCCAAGGGAGGGAGAGGAGAGCAGGAGAUGGUCCCACUGCACCUGGGCAAGAAGUGGUGGUUGGGGGGCAGGGCAGGGGAGGGACUGGAGGCUGGACACUGAAUGUGAGAGGCUGGCCUACCUGGGGGGUACCCAAGCCUGCAGGACAGAGUAAAGGAGAAAGCUGCCAGCCUCCUCCUAUUAAUCACAGGCACAAGAUGCAUUCAAACCCAUCUUUCUCCAGCACUCUGCAUUUCCCCUGUCAGACCAUCUAGAAGUAUGGGGACAGCAACCAAGCUAAGCCUAGGCCGACGGCCCCCCUGUUGGUCGGUGAAGUCGGUGAGGUCCAUUCUCUGGCAGGAGCUCCAUUCAGAUGAUUAUUUUGUUGAUAUGAAUGAUGCACACCUACUGAACGCCUAUGUGCCAGGCCCUCUCCAGUCAGCUUUACCCACUCAGGCCCCAGGCUUCAGAGCUGGAGCAAGAUGCUGACAAUGACUGUUGCCUUCUGUGCUUUGAUACCCCUUUCCACUUGGCUCCCACAGCCUCUGAUAUCAAAAGCCCACUCUCAAUUCUUGGUUAUCCUAGACCCCCUCUCCCUAGCUUGGGUCUCCAGUCAGAUUUCCCCUCUCCACUUCCUUCCCUCUUAGAAAAGAGCUUUGCAGCACCUAGUUGACAAGGAUGAUUGAAACCCUCAGGGUUUGUUCAUUCAUUCAUUCAUUCUACAAAUAUUGAUUGAGCAUGGGGGUUUUUAAGUUCGGCAUGGUCUCACUGCACCACAGGCCAGGGGAGACAGACAGGAAACACAGCCUUAUGAACAAUUCAAUAAUUGCUAAUGUGCAUAAGAGAAAAGCAACAAAUAACAUACAAAGGAACUCCCAUAAGGUUAUCAGCUGAUUUUUCAGCAGAAACUCUACAGGCGAGAAAGGAGUGGCACGAUAUAUUUAAAGUGAUGAAAGGGGAAAACUUAUAACCAAGAAUACUCUAUCCGGCAAGGCUCUUGUUCACAUUUGAUGGAGAAAUCAAAAGUUUCACAGAUAAACAAAAGCUAAAAGAAUUCAGCACCACCAAACCAGCUUUACAGCAAAUGGUAAAGGAACUUCUCUCGUCAUCAAACCAUAAGAAAAGAGAACAAAAGAGAGACCUACAAAAGAUUGCUUUGGCAGUUCAGGAUCUUUUAUGGUUCCAUAUAAAUUUUGGAAUUGUUUGUUCUAGAUCUGUGAAGAAUGUCAUGAGUAUUUCGACAGGGCUUGCAUUGGAUCUGUGGAUUGCUUUGGGUAGUAUGGCCAUUUUGAUGAUGUUGAUUCUUCCAAUCCAAAAGCACAAGAUACCUUUCCAUUUCUUUGUAUCAUCUUCAGUUUCUUUCAUCAAUGUUUCACAGUUUUCGAGAGUAUUGGUAACUUCCUUGUGUAAGUUUAUUUCUAAGUAUUUUGUUGUUUUUGAUGCAAUGAAAAUGUUUAUGCCAGUUAUAAAAUUCUAGUUUUGAAGUGAAAAAAAAGUGAAUGAAGGUCUGCAAAUGGCAAAAUAUCUUUCUUUCUUAUGGAUGAGGUGUAUUCCAUUAUAUAUGUAUGCUGCAUCUUCUUUAUCCAUUCAUCUAUUGAUGUGCACUUAGGAUGCUUCCAUAUCUUGGCAAUUACCAAUAAUGUUGCUGUUAAUAGCAGAGUGUAUGUAUUUUUUUGAAUUAAUUCUUAUUUUGUGGUUGGCUUUAUUCCUUUGAUAACUAUGUAAGUUUAAAAAGCUAAAGCUCUAAACAUUCUUAGAAACAAUGAACAGUACAUAUAUGUAAAUUUAAAAAAUAUGUGCAGUAUAUUGUGUAUAUGUAUUUACAUGCAAUACAUUGUAUAUGUGCAGUCAAAUUGUAACAAUUCUACCAAAUAAAACUGAAAAAUGAAAAAUAAGAAACAAAUAA